GUCCAGCUGACCAAUCCUAAAUAAGAUGAUACACGCGUCCUGGAU
rnacentral:hammerhead_ribozyme from 1 species